GUACGGUUAAUGGGUUAUUUUUCAUUUUUUGCAGAUCUGCACACAUUGGAAUUUCGCUAACUCCUCCGAAGGCUUUCGUUCGACCGGCACCACAUUUGCGCAGGCCAAUCUACACCCCAUGGCCAUUAAAAGUUGUACAAAUCAUGACGCUGCACCCCACGGUUUAUGUUCUAGGGGGCGCCAAAGAUAACCCAAAAAUCCACAUUAUUAAAAGUGUAUUAACUUUUUACUUUUGUCCUCACUGGCCUCCAAGUUUUCUAGGAUGAUGCAAUGUCCAGCCAUCAACACAUUUGUGAAGGAAUUUUUACUCCCCAAAAGAGCGCCCCCCAAUGGCAGGAGAAAAAGGUCCAUUUUUUCUUGUCUCCAAAGGUCAAAAUACACAUUGUCGAGUGUCACGCCUGUAUGCUUUGUCAUAUUGACACAAAAUUUGACAAUCACGUGUAUCUCAAUAAGAUCUACGAAAAAGUCAAAGGGCAUGUAUCUGUCAAAUGUACGGUUAAAGGGCUAUUUUGCAUUUUUUGCUGAUCCGCACACAUUGGAAUUUCACUAACUCCUCCGAAGGCUAUCUUUCCACCGGCACCAAAUUUGCUCAGGCCAAUCUACACCCCAUGGCCAUUAAAAGUUGUACAAAUCAUCUUGCUGCACCCCACGGUUUGGGUUCUAGGGGGCACCAAAUAUAACCCAAAAAUCCACAUUCUUAAAAGUGUUAUAACUUUUUAUUUUUUUCCAUACUGGCCUCCAAGUUUUUUAGGAUGAUGCAAUGUCCAGCCAUCAACACAUUUGUGAAGAAAUUUUUACUCCCCAAAAGAGCGCCCCCCCAUGGCAGGAGAAAAAAGUCCAUUUUUUCUUAUCCCGAAAGGUGAAAAUACACGUUGUUGAGUGUCACGCCUUUACGCUUUGUCAUAUUGACAAAAAAAUUGACAAUCAUGUGUAUCUCAAUUAGAUCUACGAAAAAGUCAAAGAGCGCGUAUCUGUAUAAUGUACGGUUAAAGGGCUAUUUUGCAUUUUUUGCCGAUUCGCACACAUUGGAAUGUGGCUAUCUCCUCCUAAGGCUUUCGUCCCACCGAUACCAAAUUUGCUCAGGGCAAUCUACACCCCAUGCCCAUUCAAAGUUGUAAAAAUCAUGACGCUGCACCCCACGGUUUACGUUCUAGGGGGCGCCAAAGAUGACCCAAAAAUCCACAUUCUUAAAAGUCAUUUUGGCCACUGCAGGAGUACAGAGUACUGCAGUUCUAGGGGGCGCCAAAGAUGACCCAAAAAUCCACAUUCUUAAAAGUCUUUUUGGCCACUGCAGGAGUACAGAGUACUGCAGGAUACACACACAUAUACACACACGCCAACACACACACACACACACACACACACACACACACACACACACACACACACACUCAGAGUCUGUUUUUAAGCACCUGCAAAAACAUGCUGUUUACAUAUUUGACAAGAAUGCAGAGGCUUCCUUUUGCCCCUGAAAAAAAUCAAAUUUCAAACACAACUUGACUGUUCAUUUCUCCAAAAGACAACCAUGAAGCUCCAUCCAAACCUGAAGCAGAUAGUUGGUGCAUGUGUACAGUAACCUGAGGGGAGUGAGGUGACUAUUUCUGAGGAGAACAUAAGCAGUGAAGAUUCACCUUGGAGCUAGAACAGGGACGUGCACAUGAUUAUACAGGGGCAGGGGCUCAAGUUUUUUCCAGUCAUUUAUACAAUAUGGAAAUUAAUGUGAAAUUAAACCACAAAUAUGUGUGAUGAACUGUUUUUAAAACUUAAACUUCAAAUAAAAAUUGUAAACUUCAAAACAUAUGCAAAUUUUUAACAAAGAACAUAGUAAUUUACCUCUAUUUACAUCAAAAUGCAGGCAAUGGCCCAGGCGUUCUUUGUAAAAUUAUUUACAAAACACUGUAUAGUCUCACAAAUGUCACUUUUUAUUUAUGCCACUACAAAAAAACAUGAUGUAAAUGAUGCAUGAUGUAAAACAUGAUGUAAAAAACUUGUGUAGAUCCUCCUCUAUGUUAGUCCAUGUGUAAUUUUUCCAUAAUUCUUUGUUUUUUGCAGCAUUUUUGUUAGUGUAACUGCAGAUUGUGCUGACAGUGUCUAUGGCAAAAAAAAAAAAAAACUGAAAAUGCCUCAACAUGAACCCCUGGUGGUCUCUGAGGGUGAAACCUGCUAACUGCUGCAGCUCUGUCAGCUUUAGUCUCCCAUGCAGAGCUCGGAGCGCAUGUGUGGCUCUGCACCCUUAGCAGCGUUGCUAACUCCUCAGUAAGGAAAGCCUGCUUCAUGUCAGAGUCUCUAAACUCCAGAAGAAGUCGAUAAAAGUCCCUUUCUUUCUAAAAAAAAGUCGUUAGGGGGUCUGAAAAGUCAUUGAAUCUAACAACAAAGUCGCUAGGUUUGCAACUACGUGUCCCAGACUGCAUCCCUGCUGAGAGUUCCUCCCUCCCUUCUCAUGUUGCAGGAAGAACGUAAGCGCCCGCCCCUUGUCAAUCAGUCACCAUAUAAUUUUGGAUUGGUUGUUGUGGUGAAGUUUUCCACCAAUAGGAGAGAUGUUGUGGUGUGUUUUUCUUUUUCUUUGGCAAGCCUUUUCCGCCUGCAAGACCUGUCGCUAAUGUCUGCAUGCUAUGUUUUCCUGUCUCAUACAGCGCGAUCGAGCGCCGAACGUGAUCAAAAUAAGCAGAAAAAAAGUAUUGCGGACAUAAUUUAUCAUAACUCUGGUUUUAUUUGGCCUAUCAACACAAUUUGAAAACUGGUGUAUAGUUUGAGGUCCUCACUUUUGAGAUAAGUUGAAACGGAGAGUCAACGAGGCUCCGUCUUGCUGCUACAUCCGGUUAAAUAUGUAAUGUGACUUGAACGCUGGGGAGCGUCAAUCGACUGCAGAGCCAGCAGACAAAGUAGUUGUGGCCACUGAAAGGCACAUAUUUGUCAUAUGCUAUAAUCCUAACAUAUUUUAAUGCUUUUUCUAUUUAAACCUAAUGGAUCUAAGGUUUGACCUUCAAAAUUUAGGAAGAAUAUGUUUUUGCAGUAAUGACCCCGUUAAACAACCAGAGGUCCUUUCCUAAAGUUUAUGGAAAUUUUAGUGAAGGCCUUGGUUUCUUUCCUUGCAAAAUGUAUAGAAAUAAUAAAGCUAAAUUCCAUAAAAAGGUCUUGGCGUAUUAGCAGUGAUAUAAAAUAGUGGUUUGAAUAUGAAUGAACAACAACAAAAAAAAAACAUCAACAGAGCCUUUUUGAGUUGGGAUUCUUUCAUUAUCACACAAAAACAGACAUAGACAGACAUCUAAAGGGUAAGGGAAUGAUCAGCCCUCCUAACUCUCAGAUGAAUCUUCAAAAUUCACCUCAGAAAUAUGCUUAUUAUUCUUCUCAGAGUACUGCAGGAUAUACACACACACACUCAGAGUCUUUUUUUUAGCACCUGCAAAAACAUGCUAUUUACAUAUUUGACUAGAAUGCAGAGGCCCCUUUUUGCCCCUGAAAAAAAUCAAAUUUCAAACACAACUUGACUGCUCAUUUCUCCAAAAGACAACCAUGAAGCUCCAUCCAAACCUGAAGCAGGCAGUUGGUGCAUGUGUACAGUCACCUGAGGAAAGUGAGGUGACUACUUCUGAGGAGAACAUGAGCAGUGAAGAUUCACCUUGGAGCUAGAACAGGGACGUGCACAUGAUUAUACAGGGGCAGGGGCUCAAGUUUUUUCCAGUCAUUUAUACAAUAUUGAAAUUAAUGUGAAAUUAAAAAACAAGUAUUAAUAGAAAGGUUAUGACUGUCCUGUGUAGAUGACAGUGAUAUCCAAUAGGCUAGGCACUCAAGAGGCUGGCUGUGGCAAGUGUAAGUGAAAGCAACACGCACUGGCAGGAAGAACAGCAAACGCCGAUGAAGGAAAGAGUCUUUGCAGUGAUGGGCGUUACCAGAGAGGGCGAUGGCCAGAGGACGCGAAUGGGACGGGGAGGCAGCGCGUUGGGGGGGGCAGCGCGACACGGCUCGGGCCCGCCAGUGCCCCAACGGGGCCCUAGUUAGGGCCCGAGCGUAGCUGCUAAGCAGCUGCGAGAGCCCUCUUGUUCCUGAUGGAUUCUUCUUUUGUUAUUAUUAUUAUUUUUCCUCCGCUUUAAACUGGAAAAUGGCCCACUUCCCACUGGCGAAAACUCAUGAAAUUUGGCAGGACGACCAGGCCUGGUGAAAAAUUCGAUAUUCUGAAGUCGCCCAAACAAUAAAAUGCAAAAUGGCUCCAUAGCGCCCCCUAAGGUGAAAAUUCACACUAUUGACUGUCAUGCCUGUACGCUUUGUCAUAUUGACACAAAAAUUGACACACACAUGUAUCUUAAUAAGAUCUACAAAAAAGUCAGUGCGGGCAUAUCUGUCAAAUGUACGGUUAAAGGGUUAUUUCGCAUUUUUUGCCGAUCCGCACACAUUGAAAUUUCGCUAACUCCUCCGAAGGCUUUCGUUCCACCGGCACCACAUUUGCUCAGGCCAAUCUACACCCCAUGGCCAUCGAAAGUUGUACAAAUCAUGACGCUGCACCCCACGGUUUAGGUUCUAGGGGGCGCCAAAGAUAACCAAAAAAUCCACAUUCUUAAAAGUCUUAUAACUUUUUAUUUUUUUCCUCACUGGCCUCCAAGUUCUCUAGGAUGAUGCAAUGUCCAGCCAUCAACACAUUUGUGAAGGAAUUUUUACUCCCCAAAAGAGCGCCCCCACGUGGCAGGAGAAAAAAGUCCAUUUUUUCUUGUCCCCUAAGGUGAAAAUACACAUUGUUGACUGUCACGCCUGUACGCUUUGUCAUAUUGACACAAAAAUUGACACACACAUGUAUCUCAAUAAGAUCUACGAAAAAGUCAAUGGGCACGUAUCUGUAAAAUGUACGGUUAAAGGGCUAUUUUGCAUUUUUUGCCGAUUCGCACACAUUGGAAUUUCGCUAACUCCUCCUAAGCUUUCUUCCCACUGGCACCAAAUUUGCUCAGGCCAAUCUACACCCCAUGGCCAUUCAAAGUUGUAAAAAUCAUGACGCUGCACCCCACGGUUUACGUUCUAGGGGGCGCCAAAGAUAACCCAAAUAUCCAUAUUCUUAAAAGUCUUAUAACUUUUUAUUUUUGUCCUCACUGGCCUCCAAGUUUUCUAGGAUGAUGCAAUGUCCAGCCAUCAACACAUUUGUAAAGGAAUUUUUACUCCCGAAAAGAGCGCCCCCCCAUGGCAGGAGAAAAAAGUCCAUUUUUUCUUGUCCCCUAAGGUGAAAAAACACAUUGUUGACUGUCACGCCUAUACGCUUUGUCAAAAUGACACAAAAUUUGACACACACGUGUAUCUCAAUAAAAUCUACGAAAAAGUCAAUGGGCACGUAUCUGUAAAAUGUACGGUUAAAGGGCUAUUUCGCAUUUUUUGCCGAUUCGCACACAUUGGAAUGUGGCUAACUCCUCCUAAGGCUUUCGUCCCACCAACACCAAAUUUGCUCAAGCCGAUCUACAUCCCAUGGCCAUUCAAAGUUGUAGAAAUCAUGACGCUGCUCCCCACGGUUUACGUUCUAGGGGGCGCCAAAGAUGACCCUAAAAUCCACAUAUUUCAAAGUCUUAUAACUUUUUAUUUUUGUCCUCACUGGCCUCCAAGUUUUCUAGGAUGAUGCAAUGUCCAGCCAUCAACACAUUUGUGAAGGAAUUUUUACUCCCCAAAAGAGCGCCCCCCCAUGGCAGGAGAAAAAAGUCCAUUUUUUCUUGUCCCCUAAGGUGAAAAUUCACAUUGUUGAGUGUGACACCUGUACGCUUUGUCAUAUUGACACAAAAUUUGACAAUCACGUGUAUCUCAAUAAGAUCUACGAAAAAGUCAAUGCACGCGUAUCUGUCAAAUGUACGGUUAGAGGGCUAUUUUGCAUUUUUUGCCGAUUCGCACACAUUGGAAUGUGGCUAACUCCUCCUAAGGCUUUCGUCCCACUGACACCAAAUUUGCUCAGGCCAAUCUACACCCCAUGACCAUUCAAAGUUGUAAAAAUCAUGACGCUGCACCCCACGGUUUACGUUCUAGGGGGCGCCAAAGAUGACCCAAAUAUCC
rnacentral:lncRNA from 1 species